UUAUAAUAUUACCAAGGUAAUUAUUAUAUUAUCAACAUCCUUCCUAUUAUAUUCUAAAUAUAUAGGAAAUUUUACUUUGAGAAAAUUAGAGUGCUUAAAGCAGGCAACUGCCUUGAAUACUCCAGCAUGGAAUAAUAAGUAAGGACUUUUGUCUUUCUUAUUGGUUCUAGGACAAAAGUAAUGGUUAAUAGGGACAGUUGGGGGCAUUCGUAUUUAACAGCCAGAGGUGAAAUUCUUAGAUUUGUUAAAGACGAACUACUGCGAAAGCAUUUGCCAAGGAUGUUUUCAUUAAUCAAGAACGAAAGUUAGGGGAUCGAAGACGAUCAGAUACCGUCG
rnacentral:rRNA from 1 species